CUUGGAGUAAGUGGGGAAGUGAGGUGUGCUUCGAAGGAAGGAAAACACAAGCAGCAAAUUACAGACACUAGAAGCCCCCUUAAAGAGUCACCUGAGCUGAUUUUGUGAGCCGCUGUGUUUGCCUGACACCAGGUACACACGGAAAUGCUCAGCUGAUUAGGAAAAAAGGCUGGAUCUGACAACUCCACGUGAUGAAGAAACACAUGUCCUGAGGAGGCUGUCCCUGCUUCAGCACAAGAAAGCUCAUUGUGAAACGCCAUGGGUUUAUAAAGAUGCAGUGCAUGAUAAGAAGGCCUACCCCUAUCUCUCUGAACAUCAACUGAGAUCUUAUGUAAUCUUAAUGGAUUGGACCCAGACCUCUCUCUUCCAAAGAUAUAUCAGUGUAAAUAGACAAUAUCGACAAAGAUGGAAAGCCAAGAGCCAGAACAAAUGUGCCUCCCACCUUCCCAGGGGACAACAGCUCAGAGAAGAGGAUGUGGAACCAAGAAAAGGGCUCAGCUUUGGAAAUGUGAUUCUGCUCUCAAACUAUUUAAUGUCACAUCCAACACCCUAAACUGCACCCAUGGGACAAGUGGGAGUCAGAGCAACUGAGAGAAGAGAGUAUCCCAUCCUGCAUCUUGGGUAUGUUAUUUGAUGCUUUUACAUCAAGACUGGACUGCCAAGAGACUACUGUGGGGUAGCUUCAAGGUCUGUAAAUGAAAAGCUAUCAUUUGCGUAAAAAGGAAAGUCAAAACACAGCAAAAUUGUGUACCAGAAAUGAUGCCAAGGAAUAGUACUCAUGAAAAAUAUACAUACUGUUUUCCAUUGACUGCUAAUGGGCAGUCCAAGGAUUUGAUAUCAGUGAAGAAAACCUGCCCCCUCAACCCACAAAUAAUUGGAAGUAUUUUGACCCACUUAAGCAGGCAGCUCUUAGCUAUGACUUUAGUAGAAACUAUCCAUUAAAAAAAAAUAAAUAAAUCCAUAAGCAUAUGCAAGAUCAAAGUCUGUGUUAUCAUAGUUAGCU
rnacentral:lncRNA from 1 species